rnacentral:rRNA from 1 species
AGAACGAACGCUGGCGGCGUGGUUAAGACAUGCAAGUCGAACGAAAUACCCUGACGGGCAACCGAAAGAGUGUUUAGUGGCGAACGGGUGCGUAACACGUGAGCAAUCUACCUUUUAGUGGGGAAUAGCUCGGCGAAAGCCGGAUUAAUACCGCAUGUGGUGUUGGUCUGCAUAGACCGAAAACCAAAGUCGGGGACCGCAAGGCCCGGCGCUAAAAGAGGAGCUCGCGGCCUAUCAGCUAGUUGGCGGGGUAACGGCCCACCAAGGCAAAGACGGGUAGC